GCCGUUGGGUCACGUUUUGUACACCCGCUGCAGGUGGUGACCUGUGGGACCCAGAGGAGUACCUUCUUGUGGUUCGCCACGUGUUGGGAGCGGCUGAAAAACUUCACUACAGUAUUCUGCAUGCUAUUCACCAGUUAUAUUUCUUUUCAUCCCUGUUAUGCUGAAAGAUUGUGGUCUACUCUGGAAUUUGUUCAAGGCCCCAGAAAUUUGGACACCGUAGCGAAGGCAGCUCAAGACUGCGGUG